rnacentral:rRNA from 1 species
UGCAUUGAUUACGUCCCUGCCCUUUGUACACACCGCCCGUCGCACCUACCGAUUGAAUGGUCCGGUGAAGGCUCGGGAUUGCAGCUAAUGCCUUUACUGGUGUUGGUUUCAAGAACUUGUCUAANCCUUAUCAUUUAGAGGAAGGUGAAGUCGUAACAAGGUUUCCGUAGGUGAACCUGCGGAAGGAUCAUUACCACACAAUAAUCCAAACCGCGCUUACAUUAAACCCAUAGGCUCUGGCCCUGCUAACUAGUGGUAAACCCCUCUGUAACCCAUCGAGUCUCUCUGGUGUUUACGACCUUAUAAGAUCUCAUUAUGUGCCACUGCCGUGAUGAUGCAACCUGGAGGCCAACGAGUACGAUCCACCAAUUUAAAUUCAAUCGACAGCUUGACGAGAGUCAAGUUUAAAAGUAUAACAUUCCAAUACAACUUUCAGCAAUGGAUGUCUUGGUUCCCAACACAAUGANGAACACAGCGAAAUGUGAUACGUAAUACGAAUUGCAAGACUUUGUGAAUCAUUGAAUUUUUGAACGCAUAUUGCGCUGCCAGAUUCUUUCUGGGAGCAUACACGACAGAGUAUCAUCAAACCCCAAUCUAUAACAUUAUUUGUUAUGGGCAAGUGAAGUUGGCUUUAAACAAAGCACUCCUUCUAAGUUAUUUAGUGCAGAGGCAUUUUCACAUUGUAGGAAACUCAGUGUAUUUGUUUCAACGUGCUAUUGGUCAAAAUUCACUUUUUGACUGNCUUCUUAACUGAUCUCUGACUGUGUAGGACUACCCGCUGAAUUU